rnacentral:rRNA from 1 species
CGCAUCUGUGCAUGCAGCAUAUCAAUAAGCGGAGGAAAAGAAACUAACAAGGAUUCCCCUAGUAACGGCGAGUGAAGCGGGAAGAGCUCAAAUUUGAAAUCUUAAAGGGUUUCCCUUUACGAAUUGUAGUUUAAAGAAGUGUUUUCUGUUGAGGUUUUGGUAAAAGUUCUUUGGAAUAGGACAUCAUAGAGGGUGAGAAUCCCGUAUUUGACCUUUACUUUCAACUUUGUGAUACACUUUCAAAGAGUCGGAUUGUUUGGGAAUGCAGUCCAAAAUGGGUGGUAAAUUUCAUCUAAAGCUAAAUAUUGGCGAGAGACCGAUAGCGAACAAGUACCGUGAGGGAAAGAUGAAAAGAACUUUGAAAAGAGAGUCAAACAGUACGUGAAAUUGUCAAAAGGGAAGCGUUUGACACCAGUGUUGUUUUUCUGAAAAUCAAUUAAAGAACUGUUUAUGCUAAGUUGUUUAGACUUUAUCAGCUAACUGUUUAGUUUUGAGCUUUUCUUUAAUGCACUUUUCAGUUAACAAGUCAACAUCAAUUUCUUUUGCUGUAAAGAAGCUUGAGGAAGGUGGCUUGAGAUUCGUCUUAAGUGUUUAUAGCCUCUUGCCUAUGCAGUCGGAGAGAUUGAGGUCUGCAGCGUAGAUCCUUCGGGGCUAAAUGCAUUUGUGCUAAGUUAUAGCAUUUUAUAGACAACUUGUUGACUAUGAUUUGUCUUGUAGCUUACUCGCUUAUGUUAUUUUACCUACGCUUAGGAUGUUGACAGCAGUAUAGACUGU